CCUACGGGAGACAGCAGUGAGGAAUAUUGGUCAAUGGCCGCAGGGCUGAACCAGCCAAGUCGCGUGAGGGAUGACGGUCCUAUGGAUUGUAAACCUCUUUUGUCAGGGAGCAAAGGGCGCCACGUGUGGCGCUUUGCGAGUACCUGAAGAAAAAGCAUCGGCUAACUCCGUGCCAGCAGCCGCGGUAAUACGGAGGAUGCGAGCGUUAUACGGAUUUAUUGGGGUUAAAGGGUGCGCAGGCGGAAUGUCAAGUCAGCGGUAAAAUUUCGGGGCUCAACCCCGUCGUGCCGUUGAAACUGGCGUUCUUGAGUGAGCGAGAAGUAUGCGGAAUGCGUGGUGUAGCGGUGAAAUGCAUAGAUAUCACGCAGAACUCCGAUUGCGAAGGCAGCAUACCGGCGCUCAACUGACGCUCAUGCACGAAAGCGUGGGUAUCGAACAGGAUUAGAUACCCUGGUAGUC
rnacentral:rRNA from 1 species